AAUGUUGUUGCAACAGUAAUUGAACUUAGUACGAGAGGAACCGUUCAUUUGGAUAAUUGGUAUUUGGGCUUGCCUGAGCAGGCAAUGGCCCGAAGCUAUCAUCCGUUGGUUUAUGGCUGAACGCCUCUAAGAUAGAGCCAGUGCUACUCGACGAGUACCGCCUUUUCCGCUUUUUAGUUGAAUACGAAUAGAUCUUGCAGAGUGGAAAGACUUUGUGAGGCUUCUGCUAAUGUUAAUUUCAAAUAUUGGAGGAGAUAAAUCCAUUGCAGACGACUUUAACUGAACGAGUUAUUGUAAGCUGUUGAGUGGCCUUGUUGCUACGAUCUACUGAGAUGAAGUCCAUUGCUCUAUAGAUUU
rfam:Mortierella elongata AG-77 unplaced genomic scaffold K457scaffold_99, whole genome shotgun sequence.